CAUGCAAGUCGAACGCUGAUUUCAGGGUAGCAAUAUUCUGAAGUCGGAGUGGCGCAAGGGUGCGUAACACGUGGGCAACCUGCCCUGAAGUCCGGGAUAACUCGCUGAAAGGCGAGCUAAUACCGGAUGUGCAUUUCGGAGGGCAUCUUCUGAAAUGCAAAGUUGAGGACCGAAAGGCUUGACGCUUCUGGAUGGGCCCGCGGCCUAUCAGCUAGUUGGUGAGGUAAAGGCUCACCAAGGCUACGACGGGUAACUGGUCUGAGAGGACGAUCAGUCACACUGGAACUGAGCCACGGUCCAGACACCUACGGGUGGCAGCAGUAGGGAAUAUUGCGCAAUGGGCGAAAGCCUGACGGAGCCAUGCCGCGUGGGGGAUGAAGGGCUUCGGCUCGUAAACCCCUGUCAUUCGCGAACAAUUCCUCCAACCUAACACGUUGGAGGUUGAUGGUAACUGAAGAGGAAGGGACGGCUAACUUCGUGCCAGCAGCCGCGGUAAUACGAAGGUCCCAAGCGUUGUUCGGAUUUACUGGGCGUAAAGGGAGCGCAGGCGGUGAGGAAAGUCUGAUGUGAAAUCUCCGGGCUCAACUCGGAAAUGGCAUUGAAUACUGCCCUGCUAGAGGAUUGGAGGGGGGACUGGAAUUCUCGGUGUAGCAGUGAAAUGCGUAGAUAUCGAGAGGAACACCAGUGGCGAAGGCGAGUCCCUGGACAAUUCCUGACACUGAGGCACGAAAGCUAGGGUAGCAAACAGGAUUAGAUACCCUGGUAGUCCUAGCCGUAAACGGUGCACGUUUGCUGUGAGCGGAUUCGACCCCUUUUGUGGCGAAGCUAACGCGUUAAGUGUGCCGCCUGGGGAGUACGGUCGCAAGAUUAAAACUCAAAGAAAUUGACGGGGGCCUGCACAAGCGGUGGAGUAUGUGGCUUAAUUCGAUGCAACGCGAAGAACCUUACCUGGCCUUGACAUGCAAGUAGUAGAAACCUGAAAGGGUGACGAGGUAGCAAUACCAGCUUGCACAGGUGCUGCAUGGCUGUCGUCAGCUCGUGUCGUGAGAUGUUGGGUUAAGUCCCGCAACGAGCGCAACCCCUAUGUUCUGUUGCCACUCGAACGUGAGUUCGAAGCACUCUGAACAGACUGCCUCAUUUAAAUGAGGAGGAAGGUGGGGAUGACGUCAAGUCAGUAUGGCCCUUACGGCCAGGGCUGCACACGUACUACAAUGCCCGGCACAAAGGGAUGCGAUACCGUGAGGUGGAGCGAAUCCCAUAAAACCGGGCCCAGUUCGGAUUGUAGUCUGCAACUCGACUACAUGAAGCCGGAAUCGCUAGUAAUGGCGCAUCAGCUACGGCGCCGUGAAUACGUUCCCAGGCCUUGUACACACCGCC
rnacentral:rRNA from 1 species